rnacentral:rRNA from 1 species
GACGAACGCUGGCGGCGUGCUUAACACAUGCAAGUCGAACGGAAAGGCCCUGCUUUUGUGGGGUGCUCGAGUGGCGAACGGGUGAGUAACACGUGAGUAACCUGCCCUUGACUUUGGGAUAACUUCAGGAAACUGGGGCUCAUACCGGAUAGGAGCUCCUGCUGCAUGGUGGGGGUUGGAAAGUUUCGGCGGUUCGGGCUGGACUCGCGGCUUAUCAGCUUGUUGGUAAGGUUGUGGCUUACCAAGGCUUUGACGGGUAGCCGGCCUGAGAGGGUGACCGGCCAAACUGGAACUGAGAGGCGGGCCAGACAAAUACGGGAGGCAGCAGCAGGGAAUAUCCCGAAUUGGGCGGAGGGCUGACGGAGCUGCGCCGAGUGGGUGAUGAAGGUCUUCGGAUCGUAAAAAUGUGUGAUAAGGGAGGAAAAAAUGUGUAAGUAAAGAUGCGGGACUGGAAGGGAACUAAUCAGAAAGCCACGGCUAACUACGUG